CGAUAAAACGGGUGAAGUCCCGUUCGCCGGAAGCCCAAGGUUUCCUGCGCAACGUUCAUCGGCGCAGGGUGAGUCGGCCCCUAAGGCGAGGCAGAGAUGCGUAGCUGAUGGGAAACAGGUCAAUAUUCCUGUACCGCUAUCCAAUGCGAUGGGGGGACGGAGAAAGGUAGGCCAGCCAGGUGUUGGAUGUCCUGGUUUAAGCGUGUAGGCGUGCCCCUUAGGCAAAUCCGGGGGGGCUAAGCUGAGGCGUGAUGACGAGGCACUACGGUGCUGAAGUGGUUGAUCCUAUGCUUCCAAGAAAAGACCUCUAAGCUUCAGUUGGAUAGUGACCGUACCGCAAACCGACACAGGUGGGCAGGGUGAGAAUCCUAAGGCGCUUGAGAGAACUCUGGAGAAGGAACUCGGCAAAUUGACACCGUAACUUCGGGAUAAGGUGUGCCUCUAUUACGUGAAGACCCUUGCGGUUGGAGCGGAAAGAGGUUGCAGUGAAAAGGUGGCUGCGACUGUUUAACAAAAACACAGCACUGUGC
rnacentral:rRNA from 1 species